UGAGCAAAGUGAAAUGUUAAUCAGUAUAAUUCAGGAAUCAGUUUGCAUGGAGUUUAGAAACAUCCAGGAUUUACUAGCUAAAGUGUUGAAAAGCUCUGAAGAGUAUUUCUGUUUUCAUGGAAACUAUACCUUUUACAUGUAAAAAAUGUUCAUAAGCCUCUAUUUGAUUAACAGCAUUAUUAUUUCUUUGUCCAGUAGAAUCAACCGUAUCUGAAGAGAGAGCUGAGGAAAUUAAACAAUGACUGAGAAACAACACACAGCCCAUCAGCCAGGUGGAACAGUACAUGCGAAAAAUAUGUUUGAGGUCCUCCAUGAGUUUCCUCGGCUAACUACCCCAGGCAUGAUUGCACAGGACUUUCACAUUUUACUUCAAGAUGCAGCCCCAAAACUGUUUGAAAAAUGGCUGGUAUACUGACAGGAUCUUGCUUUUUGCGAAGCGAGAAGCAAAGCUUCCAUGUACAUCUGAAGAAAUGACAGAAGAUGCAAAGGGAAAUCUUGCACUAAAGCUGUUACCUGUUUUGCUUCCACCUCCACCCUACAAAAUUGGCAGAAAAACACUCCAGGCCCAGCAUUGAUGAAAUCAAAAAAGCUUUCAUUGACAUUUAGCCUGUUGGAACAAAUAUGGUGGAGGACCUCCAGCAGGCUGAAGCAUCAAGACCUUACCCUCAUGUCCUGUCACUUGAAAAUGGACACAUUGAUUCGCAGGCAUUUGUCAUCCUCGCAGGAAAAGCUUUGGAGCAA